rnacentral:rRNA from 1 species
UACGAAGGGGGCUAGCGUUGCUCGGAAUCACUGGGCGUAAAGGGUGCGUAGGCGGGUCUUUAAGUCAGGGGUGAAAUCCUGGAGCUCAACUCCAGAACUGCCUUUGAUACUGAGGAUCUUGAGUUCGGGAGAGGUGAGUGGAACUGCGAGUGUAGAGGUGAAAUUCGUAGAUAUUCGCAAGAACACCAGUGGCGAAGGCGGCUCACUGGCCCAUUACUGACGCUGAGGCACGAAAGCGUGGGGAGCAAACAGGG